rnacentral:rRNA from 1 species
CACGGAGUUAGCCGAUGCUUAUUCGCAGAGUACCGUCAUCAAAGUACACGUACUCCUUAUUCUUCCCCUGCAAAAGCAGUUUACAACCCAUAAGGCCGUCUUCCUGCACGCGGCAUGGCUGGAUCAGUCUUCCGACCAUUGUCCAAUAUUCCUCACUGCUGCCUCCCGUAGGAGUCUGGUCCGUAUCUCAGUACCAGUGUGGGGGAUAUCCCUCUCAGAACCCCUAUCUAUCGUCGCCUUGGGGAGCCGUUACCUCUCCAACUAGCUAAUAGAACGCAUACUCAUCUUUCACCGCCUCAGCUUUAAUAUAAAUGUGAUGCCACAACUAUAUACCAUUAGGUAUUAAUCCAAAUUUCUUCGGGCUAUCCCUAUGUGAAAGGCAGAUUGUAUACGCGUUACGCACCCGUACGCCGGUCGAAGCCCGAAAGCCUCCUCCCUCGACUUGCCAUGUGUUAGGCCUGCCGCUAGGCGUUUCAUCCCUGACGCCAGGACUACCAAACGUCUUAC